GAGUCUGUGUGUUUUGUUAAAUGUUGCCAAGCAGAGCAGCUUAUCUGACCAUCUGCAUCUGUCCCUGAAUUUUGGGCAGUGGCUUGGGGACGCAUUAUCCCAAGGAGCUUCCUUCCAGCUACGCGUGUGCCGUGUCCCCUCGCGGUGGCCGCAGAUGGGCUGAUGGCCGCUCUGUGACCAGGCUCUGGCUUGGCUUUGGCAGGCUGGCAUCCUGCAGCUGCCCCGGGCCCUGGCAGAGCCCCAAAUGUGCCUCCAGAUGCCUGUACUGAAGUCUCCAGGCAUGAAUUCAGUGUCCUGCACACAACGUGAAGAACUCCAAACACAUUUCCACAGUUCAAGUCAAAAGAAUGUUUCUCUUGCAUGACUAUUAAAACAAAUUAUAAAUGUGACAUUCAACGCUUGUAGAUCUGCUGAUGUCAAAGUCUGUAUUGUAUGCCUCCACAGGAAAACUCUAUUCGAGUUUAGUAACUAUCACUUCUAAUUUUGUUUUAAUACAUUGAAAAUAAAAAUUGGAGCAGUAGUAUCUCA
rnacentral:lncRNA from 1 species